rnacentral:rRNA from 1 species
UACGUAGGGGGCAAGCGUUGUCCGGAAUUAUUGGGCGUAAAGAGCUCGUAGGCGGUCUGUUGCGUCGGCUGUGAAAACCCGGGGCUCAACCCCGGGCCUGCAGCCGAUACGGGCAGACUAGAGUUCGGCAGGGGAGACUGGAAUUCCUGGUGUAGCGGUGAAAUGCGUAGAUAUCUGGAGGAAUACCGGUGGCGAAGGCGGCAUCCUGGACCGGCAUUGACGCUGAGUGAGCGAAAGCUAGGGGAGCAAACGGG